UUAUCUUUUGUCUUAACUUCUUCAUCUUCUCUUUUCUUCUCAUUCUUUCUUGGUUAGCAAGCUUACAUCACUAUCUCAUUGCCAUUUUUGCACUUGAAUCUUCCUAGUUUGUAUCAUUUGGUAUCAGAGCACUUUUCUAAGGCUCUGUAAGAAGCAAAAAUGGCUAGAGAAUUAAAAGAAAUUAAAGAUAUGUUAGAGAGGGUGACACGGAAUAUGAUUAACUUCACUAUGAGGCAAAACCAGAUAAAGGAACAAUAUUAGAAGGUCACUGCUAGCUUGAAGGAAAUAAUUGAGGCUACCUAGAGAAGUAAUAAGGAGAAGGGAGCCACUACCACAGAUGGGGGAGGUGAGAUAUACACACCUUCUAGAAACCCUCUGAUUUGAGAAAUUUCAGUCACCACUUCUGCUCCACCCCUUCUUCAAACACCUAGAGGUUACAUUGAUGGACCAAGUGUGUACCAACAAUACUCUUCAUCGUGACCUCCUAAAUUUGCAUCAGCACCCAGCUAUAUGGGAGGACAGGUUUUUCAACAUUCUUUUCACCUACAAUCUGGACCAAUUUCAUCUUACAACCAAGAAGGAGGGGAAUCCAUCAAGCAGGGGUAGAUUUCAUCAUAAUGGAUGGCAAAAAUAAGGAGCACCUUCAUUUGUGACGUUUAUGACUCCAAUGACUAAGAGAAGAUUUUGGAAAGGAGAAUGAUAAAGAAAGGGAACAAAGCUGUAGCUCAGGUGCUCAUUCAGUGGCAAGGCAUUCUUGUUGAACAAGUAACAUGGGAAGAUUACGCAACCUUGAAGACCAGGUUUCCUCAAUUCCUUCCUUGAGGACAAGGACUCUUUUUAAGGAUAGAGAAAUGUUACAAAAUCAAAAUUGAGUUGUACAUCAGGCUUGUUCAAGAGUACUUGAUUGUUAGUUGAUUAAUUAGUUGGUUAGUUUGAGCUUUGUCUAAGUAAUGCUAUUAAGUUUUGUUGUUUACAAUAAGUCAAUUAGAAAUUAAUAUUCCAGCACUUUAGGUCCUUGUCAGAAUUAGGACUCAGUUUAUCCUAGCUAGAGUCCAAGAAUUAGUGGAGUCUAUACAUUGUACGUAUUGCAGUGGAAGAAAUCAUUAAUGAAAAUAUCGUUUUUUAUCUUUUA